AUCAUUCCUUCCUUUAAAGGCCUUAGAUUUCUCCUCAGAAAAGUAUUUGGAUGGUUGAAAAACAGGAAUUCUGACGCGAUGCUAAGUGACAAUUUAAGAAUUUUCUAAACCUAUGUUAGUCUCCAGUGAAAACCAAAUGCUGCAUGUCCAGCCCAGAUGCUGCAGUGGAGGAGGCUCUAUUCUGCACAGUAACCCAAGGAUUCAAGAUGAUGGAGGUUCCACCAAUUUGCAGAUGCAUCAUCUGGAAUUUAUCCCUGGGGCUGCCCAAUAUGCCAGUGGCUGCUUGUGGCAGACAGAAUUGAAUCCAGCAAGGAACCAGAACCUGUGCUACUAAUGUCAAGCGUGAGUGAAACUGCAUCUCCUGUUGCUGCUGAUUCUUCAGUUCUGCCAUCUCCCACUCUGCUUCCCCCCUCCAGUCAGUAACUCUUCUUGCCUGUUCACUCAAUGCCAGCCCCUGUGUGCUAACUGUUGUACUGUACUACUGUAUUUUUCAAGGUUCUUUACUGUGAGAAUAAAAAUGUUUUCUUUA